rnacentral:misc_RNA from 1 species
GUUUCCUUAUCAUGGUACUAAACUUGGGAUAUCUCCUUUCCAACAAAAAAAGAAUUAUCAAAAUCGGUACAUCCAGUAUAAAGUUAUGCGGUAUAAUACAACGUAGGUCGACGAAAAAAGCGUCAAGUAAAAACACAUUAUUAGAUAUAACUCGAAAAGUAGUUGUUAGAUCUCAAAUAAAUUUAAAUGGGACCAAUUGGCACACACCACCUUUCGAUUAAAACAAAAUUUGUCGAAAUUGGUCCACACGGGCAAAAGUUCUGAUGUAACAUACAUAAAAAAAAAAAAAAAAAAAAAAAAAAAAAAAAAUACAGUCGAAUUGAGAACCUCCUCCUUUUUUGGAAGUCGGUUAAAAAAAAUAUAUAUACGGUCGAAUUGUGUAACCUCCUUCUUUUUUUGAAGUCGGUUAAAAAUAAAAUAAAUAAUUAAUAAUAAAUAAUAUAAAAUUUUAAUUAAUUAAAACAAUAAAAUUGAAGAUCAAACGAAAUUAACAGGUGAAGUUCGAUGAUAAUUAUGUUUACUAGACAUUAGACACUGUAUAGCUAUCAUACAUGACUAUACAUAAGAAUCUUAUGCUUUAUUUAAAGUUACGGACGUUUUUUUUGCCGGCUAAAAGGGCUGUAAUAGAGAAACUUGCUAGCACGUAUGAAUAAUCUAGACAGUCACUUAUCCAUACCCACACCCACUUACACACAAAUACACAGGCAUACACACUCACAAAAUAACACAUACACAUCUACGCAUUAUUGACCAUGGAUAUUUUACAUUUUAUAUAUUUCUAAUUUUUAUUGUAACUUUGUUUUACUACCUCAACUCAACUUUGUCUACCUUAACAGUGUAACUUAAAUAAUGUAAAAUCCGAAAUUGACUUUUGUUUGGAUGAUCUGUAUUGGUUUAAGAAACAUAAAAUGUAGCUGUGGAUUUUUGUACAAAUAAAUAAAUAAACAUUCAAAUAUGCGUCGUUAGAUUACACGUUGUUAUAGAAUGCGUUGAAGAAAUAAAGGUUCACUGCUCGUUCCCCUUAGGUGAUAGCGUGAUAAUAUGUAGCCUGUAUGUUGACCCGACUUCUUAAUAAUAUUCUUGCCAAAUUUGAAGUAAAUCCAUGCGGUACUUUUUGAGUUUAUUCCAGACAUACAUACAGACAAACAGACAAAAAUUCUAAAUACUAUAUUUUUGGCUUCGGUAUCGAUUGUAGAUCACACCUCAAGUAUUCUUUAAAAUAAUUGUGUUUGCUGGCAAACGAAAAAAAACCGACUUCAAUUACAUCGAAUUCAAGAGUUUCCCUCGAUUUGUCUGAGAUCCCAAAUGGAUGGAUAGUACCAAAGUAGGAAUAUCUCCUUUCCAACAAAAAAUGAAUUAUUAAAAUCGGUUCAUAAGCGACGGAGUUAUCCCCGAACAUACAUAAAAAAUUUAUACUAAUAUUAUAAAUCUGAAGUUUGUUUGUUUGUUUGUUUGUUUGUUUGUUUGAACGCGCUAAUUUCAGAAACUACUGGUCCGAUUUGAAAAAUUCUUUUUGUGUUAGAUAGCCCAUUUAUCGAGGAAGGUUAUAGGCUAUAUAAUAUCAUUACGCUAAGACCAGAAGGAGCGGAGCACCAAUGAAGAAUGUUUCAAAAUCGGGGGUUCUUUUUGUGCGCUGUGAAAACAAAGUUUCACAAAAAUCACGUAUGACAGAAUUGAUCCUCUUCAAAAGUUCUAAAAAAAAGUCCGCGACGGCAUAUACCUGUCUAUCUUUUAAGGUUGGCUCACUCUAACCUUUUUUAUGCUAACCAAGUUUGUUCUAAAAUAAUGCAUUAUUUGCGAAGAUGUUUUUAUAAACAUGAUAUUAAUCCUUAUUUAAAUAAAUACGUUAUCCAUUACAAGUAUUUAAUUUAAAACAUAAUAACUUUCUACAUAAUUCGAUUUCAAUGAGUAUCUCAGGAGAUAUCACAGUUUUAAAAUAACAUCGCAGCAAAAUAAUGAUCAAGUAUUGCGCGCGCCUCUGUUCCACGCGGACGAAGUCGCGCGCAGAAGCUAGCCCAGCAGGCAGAAGCCCAAUAAAAAAAUUAGACACAGG